AGAGGGUGCGAGCGUUAAUCGGGAAUUACUGGGGCGUAAAGCGCACGUAGGUGGAAGAUUAAGUCGGGGGGUGUGAAAUUCCUGGGGCUCAACCUGGGGCAUGUCAUUCGAAACUGGUCAUCUAGAGUAUAGUAGAGGGAAGUGGAAUUUCCGGUGUAGCGGUGAAAUGCGUAGAUAUCGGAAGGAACACCAGUGGCGAAGGCGGCUUCCUGGACUAAUACUGACACUGAGGAGCGAAAGCGUGGGGAGCAAACAGGAUUAGAUACCCUGGUAGUCCACGCUGUAAACGAUGAGAACUAGCUGUUGGGAUGUGAAACAUCUUAGUGGCGCAGCAAACGCGAUAAGUUCUCCGCCUGGGGAGUACGGCCGCAAGGCUA
rnacentral:rRNA from 1 species